UGGAGGGAAGGGGGUGGGGGAGGAAGUGGUGGUUCUCUUGCUCGUCCUGCCAGCGUCAGCCGAGGCGAACUUGACUGAGGUGGCAGAGCUCGAGAAAACUUUGGAAAGUUUAGGUAGCACGGUUAGUGGUGGAGGCGCAGGGCAAACAAGCAGCGCUGGGGUGGGUGUGGGGGAGCGGGCCGGGUGCCAUUGGGAAGCCAGGUCGUGAGGUAGUUAAAGAUCCAAGAAUCCUGGGUCAGGUCCGCCCGCGGCCCCAGAGGCUUCGAGGGGCUGACUGUGAGCCGUUACUUUAAGAGACGGACAAGACAGAGCCGGUAGUUCGGCGGUUCGUGCCAGUGCCGAAAGCACUACGCGGAGAAGGCUCAGAGCAACGGCGGCAAAGGCUCGUCCGUCAAGGCGGGAUUAGAUCCGCCUGCCCGGGGGGCCCCGUCCCCCACCUUCCCCCGCCCUGCGAGAGCCGCGCGCGCCAGGGAUCUUUGGGGCGACGCGCGCCGUUUCGAGUCGCGCUUCGGGUCUCUGCGCACCACGUGCGCCCACGGCCUCAGGCGGGGACGUUUGGGCGAGUGUCCCGGCAGGGAAGGGGGCCACGCAGCCGGGACGGUGCUGCGGCGACGUCCCAGCCCGCCCACCCUUGCUGGGGGGCAGGACAAAAUGGCCCAACCCAACUUCUCCCUGCGCCCUGGGGAAGAAAGCGUAGUGCGCCCGCUGGAGCGCGAGGCCGCCGCCGCCCGUUCCACACACGGCCUGGCAUUCUGCUUUUCCUCACUGCGCACCAGGGAAAGGCAUAAUUCAAUUAUAUCGUUCAAGUGCCACGCAGCUUUUCCCUCUUUUGCUCUGCAACCUAGUGCAUUUCGAAGGGAACUCUCCCAAUCCUCAAAUAAAUCUCUCUCUCUCAAGUCACUCUGGGUUCUUUAGUAAUUAUUGGGGGGAAAAAAGAAAAAAGAAGGAAAAGAAAAGAAAGACCGCCCCAAAUCAGAUAUGAGUUUACCGUCUGAGCUGCAUAUUUGGGCUCAUCGAGCUUGGUUCCAAACCGCGCAGCUCACGCUAUUUCGGGAGAAGCUGGAGAAUGGGGAGAAUACAAGGUUAUUUAAAGUUGACUCCCAGAACGCGACUUUCCUUCCAGGACUCCCUAGGAGUCUGCGUCUAGGCUCCAGCUUGAAUAUUGAACCCGGGCUAGCUCCCCGGUGACACUACCUGUUGGGAGAAUGCGCAGUCUAGACCGUUGGCCUUCCUUUCUCCCGCGCAAUCCCGGCAGCGACGGGAUGAAUCUGGGUUUGGCAGGGAAGGGGAGAAGACAGAAGAGCUAGGGGCACAGCACAAAGUCAGCAGCGCCUGGUACUACCCAGCAAACUGCUCUGGCUCUUUAGGAACUGGAAGCAGUCCCCAGUACGCUGUGCGGGGUCCCUGGCCGCAGGGAUGCGCCCAAACUCUGCACGAUUCUCGAAAUUCGGAAACCACAAAGCAGUGCCGUUCGUGUUUACGGCUUAGUGCAAGCCUAACUUUAAAAAAAAAAAAAAAAAGGCAAACAAAACAAAAAAUCAGAAGCCUCUUGGCAGCUUCCUCGGCGCCCACCCCAACUCCGCACUCCAGCCCCCAGCACUUUUCCCUGCACCGAAAAUCACUUUACUACUUCUUAAAAUUCGGAAAAGUCCGCGGCGGCUUGGACUCGCGGCAACCCAGAAGCUGCUUCGAGCUCCUGCACGAGUUGCUUGAGGGAAAUCACUCUGCUCUUUCGAGCAAACUGAAUCUCUGAAUCUUAAAACAACCUAACUGGACGAGGAAGCGGAUCUCUCAAUAUAUAUUCGAGCCGUCUUUGUAGGGAUUUUUGGAGGCCGGGGGACGGGGGCUGGUAUCUCACAGGAACCUGUGGGAAGGACAGUUCGGGCCGGGCCCUGGGGCUGGAAGUCUCAUUUGGGAAGCGCACAGCGCGGGUUGAGCGCGCGCGUUUGAUUGCAUUCUUUCCGGCAAACGCUCCAGCGGAGCCGGCACCGACAGGACAGGGGGCGGGGGUGAUGUAGAGGCACAGGCUGGGCUAAACCGGGGAAAUUUCCCCCUAGACGUGGGAAGCACUCCGCGUUGUGUCUCCGAUGCGGGUUUCUGCUUUUUGAUAGCGAAUCCCGCUCAGUUUGGGGAGCUGUGGAACUUGGGAGAAGCCCUACGGGCCGGCCCAUUUGGGGUCCGAGGGUACGGAAAGCCUUUGUGAUCGGGGGCACAGCGGGGCUGUAUUUCUCAGGGCCUGCGCUCACAUUCUCCACGGUUACAAAGCACUCGGCUUAAAACGAAAUGGGGACAAAUAUUAGGCCACUGCAGGGAAGGAGGGCGGUGAGCCUCGUCUUGUUUAGGGUACUCGUUUUGACAGCGAAGACUGCUGGGCUACGCGGAAGAACGAGACUUUAUUAAUGAGAAUUUAUUGCACAGGAACGAGAGUGGAGACUUCGAGCUAAAGGACGGCGCAGGACGCUUCCCGCGCGGCGGUCUUUUAUGAUCCUGGCGAUAUUCUUCUGUUCGGGGCCCCUAAGUCACACCCCUAUUCCCAGUCUUAAGUGGCAUUUCCCUUCCCAGUGUGCCUCUUUCCUGUGCCCACUCAUCCGGGCUUCGUGCUGCCCGGGAUCUUUCGGCGGCUGGAAAAACUCUUGCAAACUUGCCCUUCACCAGGCGCUUACGCGGGUGGGCUCUCCCCGCGCCGCCGCGCCGCUACCCCGGAACCCUCCGGGGCCUGGGAAACCCGGCGUAUUUUCCAGCGCUCAGCCUCGGCGCUCCUGUUUUAUUUCAGUUCCAUCCCAGGGGCACGGACCCAAGGAUAAUAAACAGUGCUGCUUAUUACAGAUACAAACGGGCGCAGAAAAAGAACCACGCGGAAAAGCAAGCACGGAGACAUUUUUGCAAGUAGCCAUACAUUCAGAACUGACUUUGAAAGUGAGUUGUACAGUGGAAGGUAUCUCUUCAAAAUUAUGGAAAUUCGCAAAAGUAUAGGUUUGUCAAAGUAUGAUGGUUGGAACUCUUUUUAUUUAUUUGGUUUUGCCUCUGGAAAUCCGGCGGAGUUGUUGCUACCUGCCCCUACCUCUCUACAAGCCGCCUCCUCCUACUUUAUCCCCCUCUUAGAUCGCUAGGCCUCACCUAAAAAGGGGAGGGAGGGUCUUCCAGGUGUCAGCAUACUUUGCUACCGUUAUUUCAGAUCCUUCAAGAGUUGAAAACACUACUUUCCCUUUAGGCAGUGACAACGCGGGCUUUGGGGGGGGGCAGGGAGAAUGUCAUUGUAACGGGUGUGGUCAAAUAAUUCAGAGAUAAGGGGGGAAAAUUCUACGCCCCCCCUUUUUUUAAAAUAUAAACGAAGAUACCCUCUGAGUGUUGACUGGGAGUAGGGGCUGGUGAUUCCUCAGGGUGCGGGUGCGGGUGAAACCCAUUUCUGCCCUGCCUGAUGGCCUUGGGAAAGGGCCUCCCAUCUGCUCUGAUCACCAACCGCCCCCCCCCACCCAUGUCAGAAAAUCUUUCUGCCUGCAAAUAUUGGCAGGACGCUGCUGCGACAGGCGGUGGUUCUUUAAAUAGGAAGGAGACCGCAGGGCGAAAAGAAAGUCACAACCUUCCUACCCACCAGACUACCUGCCUCCCGUCCCCAAAGGCUGAGCGCUGGCAAAGGAGUCUUAAUAAGGAAAACCUCCAAUCUCCAGCAGGAUGGGAGGUGAAUUAGCAGUGUGUCCCAGGAACGAAUCUGUAUUUGAUUCUCAGGGGCUGGGGUGCCCCAGAACAGGUCUCCCUGUUUCAGUGCCAGAGCAUCCGAUCUGCCCUUCCAAUAGCCCUCCCAGUUUCUCCACUUUUCCGUUGUUGUGCAGAUAAAUGUAAAACUGGACAAAAUUUCUGAGGGUGCUUUAGUCCUAUUCUCCUGGGCAGCGGGUGACUUCUGACUUUAUCCAAAGGGCCUGCUCUGCUUUUGGUGGUGCUAAGUGGAGGGUCUGGUCUCACCAGAGCUAGCCCUUGUGCCCCACACAGAACUCUUCACCGACCAACCUCCUGGGGCUUCCUCUGGCUGGACCGGCCCCUCUGACAAUCAAGGGCAUCUCUCUGGAAACGAUUGGGGCCCAGUGCACCCAGGGAACAGCCUAAACCUUCUCUCCCCAGCUCCUACCUAAGUUGAUGGCUUUGCAUGGUGUUCACAAAUUUUUGUUUCCUCCCUUAAUUUCUGUAUCAUCUCCAGACUUUGCUCAGCUGUCUCCAGCUCUCUCUGCCCAUCCUCGAGGCCAGCUUCUAGGAAGAGAAGGAUUUGUGCCUGAUGAGCUCCAGCUUGCGAAGCCUCCUCUGCAGAGACUGGCUGCGUUUUCUAGGGGGUACUUGAGGCACUUUUGGUGGCGAGCUUGGCUCUGGCCUUCCCAUUAUUUUCCAAUUCAGUUGGACCAUAUCUUGUCAUUUGAUAGAGGAGGGAACUGAGGGACAAAGAAGGGACUUGACUUCCCCAAGGGCAGGCGGUGAGCUGAGAGCAGAGUCUGCAUCAGACCCCAGGAUUCUUGAUUCUGAGUCCGUCUGCUCAGUACUGGGGCCGGUGUCGCUGACAGUUCACUACUGUUCAGGAAGCUUCUGUUGCGUGCCAGGCCACUUGCCGUGUGCCAGACACUUUACAUAGGUUAUCAUUACAGUAACUCUAAAGAGCAUUAUUAGCCCCAAUAAAAAUUUUUUAAAAUUAUAAGAGUAACAUAUACAUAAAUCAAAAUACUUCGAAUAACUCAAAAAGGCCUAAACUGAAAGUAAGCCUCUUACUCUCCCCCCUUUUCCAGAAUGAGGCUGGUAUUUUUCAUCCCUUGAGCGUCUCUGUCCAUAUCUAAUAAACGUUACCAUGACCUUCUGAAUGAGGACAGAGAGGCUCCCAGUCAAGGUCACCAGCCGUGGCUACCUGUCUCCAACCCAGCACUGCCAUCACUCUCUAUGGGAGCGAAGGAGAGUGGGGAGAUGAGUAGUAAGUAGUGAGGCUACAGAUAAAAGAAGGAUCAGAUCAGAGUUCACGUCACCCCUUCCUUUUCCCGUCCACCUACACCUGCUAAUGCUACAGGUUUUCAGGAGCUGAGACCAUAAACUUUCUUGGUGCAGGUAACCUGACGCUCGUUUGGGAGGGCUGCAUUCCUUCCAGGCCUCUGUGCAACUGGACAGACAGCUUUCCUUGGGCCCCUGUCACCUAGCGGCUGUCACCCCAGUGCGGCCUCCAGCCUGUGCUAGCUCUGGGAGUGGGGCAAGCUCCGGAAGCUUCAAUUUCCCUGCCUGUCCCUCUGGGUUGUUGGGAGGCUCAAACCAGAGAGAUCCUGGGGAGAGGACUGGAAACUUGAAAUCACUUUCUGUAAAUAGAGCAGCUGCUUUUCAAAGGCCUGGUUUAGGACCCUGUGGCCCUUCAGUUCAAAACAGUGAAUGUUUAGGGUUCUUUGCAAAAGGGUGCGUCUGUCUUUCGGAUAUGGGGUUCACGUUUUGGGUGUGUUGUGUCUAUAGAAGCAGGUACAGAAGUGUGUCUCAAAGUGUGAGCAAAGUGGGCGUUCCUUUAUCUGUGAAAGAGGGGAACACUGAGCCGUUGGAAUCAGAGACGUUGGUGAAUGUGAAGCGGAUUUCCUUCUGCUGGAGGACACUUAAAGCCAGAUGCAACACCAGGGAAGCAGGUCCCUCUGCAGGGGAGAGGUGACAGAAGGAAGAAGAGCAGCACAAAGAAGAGGACCCAUGGCAAUGGUUGGGGACCAGGCCUGAGAAGAGAGUUGGAGUUUUGGCCCCUCUGAAAGAGAGAGAGAAAGAGAGACAGCACAAGCCAAGGGGAGAAGCAGAGAGAGAAGCAGACUCCCCACUGAGCAGGGAGACCCACUUGGAGGCUCAAUCCAGGACCCUUGUGAUCAUGACCUGAGUCAAAGGCAGAUGCUUAACCACUGAACCAUCCAGGGGCCCUCUUCUAGUGAUUUCCAAUGAUACUGUGCUUUUGUAACCAGAAGAGAGGAACAGCCUUCUAAGAGUGAGGCCCUCAAGACAUUUCCAGGCUGCCUGGACAAAGGCUUGGAAUGACUACAAUAGUGAACCAUCCUGUCUUGGACCUGAAUCUAGAUUGAUAACCUAAUACAUCUUUUCCAACUCUGACUGCCAUGGUUUUAUGAGCAUCAAAAACUGGGCGUCUGCCACUGUCAACAAGUACAGAUUCUUCAGAGCUCGAACGUCUGCAGAAACUUAAGUGUCCCCCAAAGAACAGAGAUCGCACAGUGUCCCAGGGCUCUGGGGUGCUGCCUCUAGCUUUUACGCAUGACACCGGAACUCCUCUUCGGCAGGGUAAUUUUUAAAGGAGAGGAAGUGUGCCCGUUACUCACCCCUGUUAGAUUGGUUGAAGAACUCUGAGUCAGAGCGGGGCAGAUCUCUGGGAAGCUAAUUAAGCUUAGUUUAAGGCCCUGUCCUUUCCAGGGGCCCCUUCAGAAUGCUGUACCUAAUUUUGUACUUGUAAUUUUGCAUUCUUUGCAACGAACAGGCCCCUUAAUUGUAUAAGCGGUAGUUCCCCUGCCACCAUCACUGCCACCGUAGGAAUCGGCCCCAGAGCUAGGUGACUUGCACCAAAUCUUAGUUUGGUGAAAGUGCAAAAAUUAAACAAACUCUUCUUCCCUCCACCCCACCUGGGGCAAGUCGCAGUUAAAGAGGAGACCUCUUCGAGUGCCAGUCCUCAGACGGCCUGUCAGCGACAGCAGUGGUUCAAAAACUGGCUGCGUUUUUAAUUUAUCCUCCUUAGCUCCUCUUUAAAAGAACAUUUCGUUGUGGGCUAAUUAUUACAAAGGCUUGUAGACUCUAAAGGCAGAAGAAUUUCCAUGAGUGACCUCCCUUUGGUUAAGCAGCAUCUCCAUUCCAAUUUCAGCUAAGUUUUGUUUUCCAGCAAAGUUAAUGGGUUUGGACUAGCCUUCUACACUUUUGUAACAGGGCUCUCAAGGGACCAAGCUACAGCAACAUUUAUUUUUUCUGAUUACAAAAGUAAUGACAUAUCUAUAUAAAUAUAUAUACACACAUAUAUAAAUAGCUUGAAACAUUAUAGCAUUGAAAGUGAAAAUCUUCCAUAAUCCCACACAGCUGAGAAAACCAGUUAACAUUUUUUUCAAGGCAUAUAUUAAAAAUUUCAUUUAUUAUUUUAAAAAAAUGGGAUUAUACUUCAGCUUUGAAGCAUGCUGUUUUCCACCUAGCAAUAUGUCUCAGACAUCUUUCUAUGCCAGUCUGAAAAAAGUGAGCCUCUUUUUAAUCUUCUUUUUAAUGGCUCCACGGUAUGGUCCUGUAUGGCCAAACCAUACUAUCUCUAACCAAUUGCCUGUUAAUGCACACUUGGGUUCUUUCCAGUUUUCCCUGUACCAAAUAUUCUUGCAAACAUCAUUUUACUCUUACAUCUUUGAGCUGUUGUACGAGUAUUUCUCUAUGAUGAAUUCCCAGAAGGUGAAUUAUUAUUGGGUCAAAGGGUAUGAGCAUUUCAUUUUUAAUAGCUAUUGCCAAAUUGCCCUCCAAUAAUUUUAUACCGAUUUACACCUUCACCCACACUGUGAGAAGGAGCCUGUUUCCCCACCCCACCCCCCCCUUAGCAACACUAAAACCAUGCAAUUUAGGGAUGUCUGAUGUGAGUUAGAAGUUAAGAGGUUCAGCCUGUGGAGGUUUUUUUGCCUUUGUGAAAAAGCUAACAAAGACAUCAAAAGUCUCCCCCUUUCCCUGAUGAACCCCCUGCUCUGAGUGAGCCGAUACCCAGACAGACAUCCAGCUAAUGUGAGAGGUAAAAAUGCUAAUACCUAAUGCUUAUUUUUUGGCUGGAUUUUAGCUGUUUUGUUUCUAGCUGGAUUUUUCAGAGAUAAUUUGUUGUUGAGUGCAUAAACAAAUGUGUUAUAGAAUACUUAAUAACUUAAUUAUUCAGGAAAUGGAUAUCGGUCCUGACCUCAGCACUGCAGUUUUAACGUAAGCAACAUAUUUAAUCUUAGAGCGCCAGUAUGUUUACAUCUGAAACAGUCCUUGAUUUCAUCUUUAUGUUUAUUGGUGCAGAGCAAUUUGAAAAAGCGAUUCUUUAAAGACAUGGGAAAGGGGCUUAGUCGGCCCUAUGAAAGAAGAGCAAGGUUUGCCAAUAUCCAGGUUUUAGGAACUUGUUUUGGAGAUUACUAUGGUUUACAUCCCCAGAAUUAGGAUCACCGGGCAUUAGAGCAGGUUGGGGGGGGGGGGGUCUUUAGGGGUUACCCGGCCAAAAGAUUUUGAAACCCUGCUCCGCAAAGCCUGGGGGUUGCUUCAGGGAAACAGAAGAGGUUGGUGGAAGAGGAAAGCAGAUGACGGCUAAAGAUUCAUGGUAUUCCAAUCCUAAUUGCACCACAAGUGCCCUGCUUUGAUCAACGUCAUGUGGUGGGUCAUAUAUUAUGUCAUUUGGAGCAAGUUGAUCUUUUAUUUUCCUCUUCUGUAAAACAGACACAGUAACAGUGUCUAUUUAAGAGUAGUGAAGAUUAAAUUAAGUAAUAUUAUACACAUGUAGCUCUUAGCCCAGUGCCUGGCACAUGCCAAGGACCCAAUAAAUGUUUGUUAAUGUAUUAGUUAAGAUUUUCCUUUGAAAAAGGAUUCUGUUGCUUACCUCUCAAAACCACCCAUUUACUUUUGCAUCUAUACAAUAAGGCGAUUUGUUUCAGAUGGAGUGGUUUUAGAUUUGAUUGAUUUCCUGCUUCUCAAUCCAAUGAUCUUACUACCCUCAGAUCCCAGGACCCGUCCACUUUGCUGGAGAUGCUGGGAGCUCUGAGGAUAACUGGCCUCCAAGACACCAGGUGGCGCUAUUUGCCACCCAGCUGGCCAAGAUCAAGGCUCCUCUAUCUGUCUUGCUCUUUCUUGGUUUGUGAAAGAAAUAUGACCUUGUGAAGAAAAGUUUUCUUUGCCCUGUGGGCGAAGUUGUCUACAGGGUUCACCCUGAGAAUCAAACAUGAAAGUUGCAAACUCUUAGGCAGCUUUCCUAGGGGCCAUCUUUUCCAUGAUUAGGAGGACAGUUGAAAGGAGUUCAGAAAUGGGCCCUCAAACCUUCUAAAACGGACUGCAUUUUCUAUUCUUGGCCAGACACUUUUAAAAGGAAGAACUCAUCCAACAAACAUACAGCCUUAUCAAUCCUUUUUUUAGGAAAGCUUGUCUUUGUGUAGGGGAAGUUUUCAAGUUCUCCUAAUGAAUCACAGACGUGAGGCGGGACGGGGAGAACUUCAAGCAUUUUCCUUUUUGAAUAUGUCUAACAUGAGACCAAAAACCAGGGAGCGAGUGUAUCUGUGUAUCUCUUCUGCCCAAGAACUCUUUCCAUGCCAGUCACUGCUGCCGUCUGAGAGCCAGACGUGGGCUGGGGGAGGGGUCUCUCUGUGUCAGGGCCAUUCAGGGUCUGUGGUAGACUUAGCAGCAAGUAGACGUAAAAGCUGUAGAAUUAAGAGUUGAAAACAGUGUUUAAUGAAACCCCUCCCACCAGACGCUCUUGAUCAAAGUCUAUCCUUGCACUAAGACAAUUGAUCUACAGUUGCAUACAUAAAAUUUUGGCAACACUCUGUCCUCAUGGCUUUCAACAGAGGCUUUAGACCUCUGAGACUGGGCAUUGUCCCAGAAUUGAGAUCCAGUUGCAUUACGCAUACCAGAAGACACACCACCACAGCCGAGGCCCGUGCAACCACUUUCUUUUAACCUCGCGUCUGUGAAAAAUUACUUUCCAAAAAAAUAAGUGAAACCUGAUGUCUUCUUCGGGUGGUUAUUCUUGCGCCUAUGAAGUCAAUAAAACUCUCCAGAUUUAUUAGACAGCCCUGCUGUGGAAGGCAAGACCACUUCCUAUUCCCUAGCAGAAACGUGUGCCUUUCCUUUCUGUAACCUUCUGACCACAGAUUUUCAUUUUGCUCGUUUCUUUUCUUUUUAUCAGAAAACUGGUCAGAAUCCUAUAAGAUAAGUGGCUUGGCCUGCACUAACAUCCCCAUUUCUGGCCUCCAGGAGGGACAAAGUGAGCAUAGUUCAGGCUCUUCUACCAUUUCUUGUUUACCUCCCAUUUUCAAGUAGCCCUUUUUUCUUUAGGCCAGAAGUAGCAGAGUUUGGAUGUCUCUCCUGCCACCACACUAAGCAUGAAAUGCAGAACCUACCAACAAAUUAUACUCCUGUGAGAGCCCACUAACCAGCGGGUGAUGACAAUGGGAUUCGGUUCUAUUUAAUACAACAAUAUUUAUUGAGCUCCUACUAUAUACGCCGGGGCUUCCCUGGAUAUGAAGAUGCAAAGAUAUGGAGGAUGAUGUUGCCUUCUUUCAAGGGGGAAGUCAACACUUACUGAGUGAAACUCUGAGUGGGACAGAUUCGGAAAUAAACAGAAUGUUGUGGGAUACAAAAACUAGAAAAUAGAAUGAUUUCUCAGAGAGGAUGACUCUCGGACUCUGUGUUUAAAGAUGAUUAGGAGGUUAUCAGAUGAACCUGGAGAAGGGCAACCCCAGCAGAGGGACCAGCAAGCACAGAGAAUCAGAGGUGUGGACUAACACAGAUUUGGGACCUAAGAAGUUGUGUGCAGUGAAUGAAGGCCAAAAGGUUGAACCAAUUCUGUACCUAGAGUCAGGUCCAUUCUGAGUGACUGUGGGGCCUGUGGCCAAUCUACGAGUUGCUGAAGAGCAUUUGUAGAACAUUAUCCCUGGUUCAGACAUUCUGCAUAUCAUGGGAUCCUGUUUGGAAGGUCAGGGGCAAUGACAAUGGAGAAGCAAAGAGAAACCUGGAGAAGAGUGGAGGAAUGCUGGAACACGGAAAGACUCACUCACCUUGAAGAAGAGGACACACACUGGUGUGAUGAGUUCGUGUAAUCAGUUAUGGCUCAGGACUUAGAGUUUAUUCUUAGAACACGUACGCUUGGGAUUUCUUCAUGAUGGCAUGAAUCUGUUAUUUAAUAAUUAUGAGAACUUACCUUCCCAAAUCUUCUUCUAUGUUAAUGGGAAAAGAGCCCAUUGUCAGCAGCGUCUGCUUAGGAAUAUCUUUUGUCUUGGAGCUUGUUGUAAUCACUUCCAGACCGGUGGUAUAUUUAUGAUUUACAUAAUGUUACAAAGGAAGAAGUCUUAAGGAUUUUUCUUUCUCUAAAUCUUUGUAAAUUAUUAUUUUAGACUCAUUGCCAGAUUUUUGUUAAAGGGGGAAGUUGAUGAACUUUUAAACAUGUCAUUACAUGCCCCGAAAUAGCAACUCUUUGUUCUUACAAAGAUUUUUGUGGGAAUUUAAAGGACUGUGUGUGUAUGUGUGUGCAUAUGUGUGUGUGCGUGUGUUUAGAAACAGGUAGGAAAGGAAAUAGGCAAAAAGGAACACUUGAGGUUCACUGAUAAAGUUAAAUACAUAUUUUGUUUUUCUGUUAGAACAAAAGUUGGCAGAUUUGGGGGAAUCUACCUAACAUUUGGUGUGGGUUUAGGAAGCAGGCUCUACAUUCAUUUCCAAUCAUGUUUCAAUAAUUAGGGGUAGCAACAAAAGGGUUAAGCCCUAAAUCAAGGAAAUAUCUCUAAGUCAGAAAACAAAGGGAAACUUGCAUAUUUCUGAAGAUGACAUCGGAUAGGCCUGUGAAUUUCAAGCAAUUAUGCAAUAUUAUGAUUCCCACUGAGUACGCAUUAGUUGGAAUACUGAUCUUUUUAUUUCUCCAUGUCCCGGGGUUGUACACUGAAAGAGCCCUGUUCAACUUUGCAUGUCAGAAUUUUGAAGGAAAAAUUAUAGUAAAAUAUGUUUAAAACAGUGGGGCCUUAUGUGAGUGAACACAACAUUUCCCAAGGCUUUCAAAAAUCCUUUUGUUAAAAAUAUGGUUUUUAUUUUGUUUCUUUUUUUUCUUUCUUUCUUUAAUUUUUUUUUUCCUUUUACUCAGGCUUUUACCUCCCCUCCUUCCUGGAGGAAAGAAGAAACAAGUUUCAAAGGAUAUACAUAACACAGCCUACAUCUAGGGCCUGGGGACUUACAAUGGGUUUGUUUUAAAAUGAGACACCCCACAUGGAAAAUAAACAAGUGAGAAAAGUUCAUCUGUGUAUAUAACUUCAGUUCCAACAACUAUGGUGACAGUCACAGUGUCUGAGUAAGUGUCCCCUAGAGUCAUCUUGUGAGCAAAAUGAUUAUUAAUUGAGGUUUCUGUGAGUCUAAAGACGGUUGUUCACAAAGGGUAGGAAUUUUGCUAGCGUGAGGAACUAAAGACGGAGCCCCUGGGUUGUUCUAAGAUAAAAUGUCUUUUUCAAAUUGAAUUAAUUGAAAACAAAACAAAACAAAAAACAGGCACAGCGAGGUGCCAGGAUUAGGAAUGAUGAUGAACGAAUGUCCAAUUCAUUUCAUCCUGAUAGCCUUUCUUCCAAAGAAGAGAAGUAAUUGGUUUGAUCAGUUAGGAAUUGCAUUUAGCUGUCAGUGAUAGACACUUAAGGUCAAUGGGUUAUUUUUAACAGAAAAGAAAUCCUACCUCUGGCUAUCUGGGGCUCAUAUGGUGACUCUUCAAAGUCAUCGGGGACCCAGGCUCUUUCUAGAUCUCUAUUCUUCCCUCCUUAGGCCAUGACGUCCUUCUAGUUAUUAAAUGUUCUCUCCAAGCAUGAAAGAGGAAAGGGGAGGGCAAAAGGGAUGCCCUCUUAGCUAAGUUAACUCCUUUAGAGAGCUUCCCCUGAAAUGCCUCAAAAUGAUUUCACUUAUAAUUUAUUAGCCCAACUUUUGUCACAGGGCCACACCCAGCUGCAAGGGAGCCUGGAAGGUGUGGUCUCUUAGAAGGAAAACAAUCCCGGCCCCAAAUGAACUCAGGGUUCUGUAACCAGUAAUAAGGGAAGGUCAGGUAUUGGGUGGGAAAUCAAGUCUCUGUCAUACUCCUAUAAAACGUCUGUAAUGCCAAUGCAUUGUCCAAGGCUUAUGGAUUGCUUCUGUUUGAAUCAUGCGGUAUUUAAGACACUAGUUUAAGGACAUAGUUUUGCAUUGCAUUGUCUCAAAGCAUAUGGCCAAAAUAAAUACU